CUCCCCCAAUCCCCGCCUCCUCUCCUCCUUCCCAGUCCGUCUCCGUCGCCUCUGCACACCCUGGCCGUCGUCCCCGUCCCCAACUGGGCUGCCCAUGUAUGGCCACUGCUCAGCGCAGCACCACCCCGUCCUCCCUCGUCAGCCGCCGCCGGUCUUCUCGCUGGGGUGGAGGAGUAGGGGAUCCCGCCAGAUCUGACCUGCAGACAAUGGGCGACGGCGGGGGCGCUUGAUUCGAUCCAGCGCCAGUGCCAUGGACCGGUCCGUGCAGGAGAGAGGAGGGAGAAAGAGAGAGCAAAGAGGAGUGACGGAUGACGAGAGGAGGGAGAAAGAGAGAGGAAAUAGGAGAGGGAGGCUCGGCAGCGGACGGGACAGGUCGCCGGCCGGCGUCGGCCUGCGCCGGCGAGGUCGCUCGCCCAGCUGCCAAAGAGGGAAAGGCGACGGGACCGGCAUCCGGGGCGGCGGCGGGACUGCAGGAACUGGCCGAGGUGGCCCUCGCCAAACAAGCGGGUGACAGCAAGAUAUGAGAAAGAAGAAAUAGGACCAAGAAAUAGGACCAAGAAAACUAGUUGCUCAUAUAUUCAUGUGUCGUGCAGAGAAGAACCUGAAUGGAGAACUUGGUUGCUUUUAUAUCUGCUGUUUGGUCUUCGUCUAUUGCUCUGCUGGCUCGUCAUCUCCUCGGUUGGAGGUUGUUGUUGGUCCUGCCAUUUGUUCUUGUUAGAGCCCAUUGAAAAUAUUUGUUCUCACCUAUGCUAAUGCCUUUCGGUUAAACUAGGAAUUAUUUCAUUGUUGGAAGCUUUCAUCUGCAUAUAUGCGUAAGGGGCUGUGUAUUUAUUUUGUUUCAUUCAUUUUUUGGUCUAUUUAUUUUGCACAGAAAACCAUUUGUGGUAUGCUUUGAUCGGCCUUAUUUAA